UAUAAAAAAUUUAUAAAUAAGGAAAG
rnacentral:tRNA from 1 species